GUUGCAGCAAAUCGAAUUAAAAAAGAUGUUGCACGGCUACCAGCGAGACCGCGUGACCGGCCGAACGAUUCAAAGGUAAAACCACACCCUGCGCCUCGUUCGUGGCAGAUCGCGACACUUGUAGGUAGUACUGUAAAUCGGAAAACCACAUCACCACUUUCCGGAAGCAUCUCCUCAACCUUUGCCUGCGAGAUGCGUCCCGCCCGUGCGGCCUCCGCCUCCACCGCCGGCGAGGAUGGGAACGAGCGCGUGCUGAGCUACGGCGGCGUCGUGCUCCUCCGGUCCGACCUUUCCAUCCUCCGUGGUCCCCACUUCCUCAACGACCGCAUCAUCGCCUUCUACCUCGCCCACCUCUCCGCCGCCUUCGAGGGCGACGACGACGGCGACCUCCUCCUCCUGCCGCCCUCCAUACCCUACCUCCUGUCGAAUCUCCCGGACCCGGACUCCGUUGCCGUCGUCGCCGAGCCGAUCCACCUUGCCUCCCGCAGCCUCGUCCUCCUCCCCGUCAACGACAACCCCGACGCCUCGGUCGCCGAAGGCGGCUCCCACUGGACCCUCCUCGUCCUCGACGCCACAAACGGCGCCUCCCACCCGCGCCUCGUCCACCACGACAGCCUCGGCGUCCUCAACUUCGACGCCGCGCGCCAGCUCGCCGCCGUGCUCCGCCCGCUGCUCCCCGAUGCCGCCAACGGGGUCCCGCUUGUUGAGGGGCCUACCCCUAUGCAGGCCAACGGGCACGACUGCGGCGUCUACGUCAUUGCAGUGGCCAGGGCUAUCUGUAACUGGUGGAGGGGCCGUCGAGGGCAGCAGCGGGAGGGUGGAGCAGAUUGGUUUGACACGGUGAGGAAGGAGGUGGACGCCGAAAGUGUCAAGGCAAUGAGGGCCGAGCUGCUGCACCUGAUCGCUCGCCUCAUCCAAGACAAGGAGGAUGAGAAGAACAAUACUGUGGUGUGCAGUUUCCCUUACAGGCAAGAGCACAUGUUCCAGAUCUAUGAUACUCUGCAAAGCGAAACAUGCAGACAGUGAUGGAAGAUGCAAAGUCAAGAGAAGAUAACACCUGUGAAGCCUGUAGCCUCCAGGCCUUUCUCCAGUUUCACUUCCUUCUCGAAGCUCUUGGAAGACUUCACUGGGACUGGUUCUGCGCAGAUCACCUCUCUAGGAGAGACUGUUAUAGUUAGGCGGCCGAAGGUAACACGUUUCGCACCGCCACCAAGUGAUCUAUCUGCAGGAAUCGCUGCAACCAUGUUCCAGGAUGCUGGUUUAGAUACCACACGUGAACAAAUGGUCAUCGAUCCAGAACAAGUAGUCUCCUGUGACCAGAUGACGGCAUUCCACAAUAUCAACAAGCCAAUUCAUAGUAUGAAAAACCGUUUGUCCUAUGAUGGCUACAAUUGGAGGAAGUAUGGGCAGAAACAAGUGAAAGGGAGCGAGUUUCCGCGGAGCUACUACAAGUGCACUCACCCAACCUGCCCUGUCAAGAGGAAAGUGGAGACAACAGUAGAUGGCCAAAUUGCGGAAAUUGUGUACAACGGUGAACACAACCAUCCGCAGCCCCAUCCUCCAAAAAAGCCAACGUCAUCGGCAAGUACAGAAGUUUUGGUCCCUGGCGCCCAUGGCAGCAAUGAUGCUGGAGCAGAAAGCCAGGUAGGAGGGUGCAACCUCGUUCUUGGUUCAGCUCCUGUUGCCACGGCAUUCAGAAGCAGCUGUGAUUGCGUUGAUGAAUUUGGUAAUACUAGUCCGGUCUAUCACUGCAACACAAGCCGGAAGGAGAAGCAAUCAAGUAUCACAAAUGGCCUGACUUCUUCUAGUGAGGCUGCUCCUGCAUUCCAGUCUCCAACCGAAUGCGAGUCAUCUAGGGAUGCGGCAUUCCGUUGGCGCAAGUAUGGUCAGAAGGCUGUUAAUGGUAAUUCAUUUCCAAGGAGCUACUACAGAUGCAGCACAGCAAGAUGCAACGCUCGCAAGUUUGUGGAGCGUUCAUCAGACAAUUCGCUGGUAACCACAUACGAGGGAAAGCACAACCAUGCACAACUUAAAUGAAGACGAAAGUACAAUGCUCUGUAGCGCAUUUGUGAUGUUGUACAGAUAUUAAGAACAAAAGAAUACAGUAUGUAUCUUUCCUUUCAUAAUAACGCUACCGAAUGGACCAAUCCCGUGAGGCCAUGACUUAUGUAUUCUGAAGCUCAGCGAUAUCCUUGAGAAGCUGUGGACAAGUAUUAGAUAUACUCCCUCUGUUCCUAAAUAUAAGUCUUUUUAGAGGUUUCACUAGUGAA